AAAGAUGUUCACCAAAAUAGUUUCUAUUGGUUCUUUAGCUAGAGCAUAUAGUGUUGUCUCUAUUGGUUCAGGUCUUUGUUUUCGCCCCUGCCUAUCUAGCUCAUGUGGGUGAUCUUGGAGGCUGCAACAAAUUUGCACACACAUGGUAUAUUGACAUACCAACAUGUGAAGGAUGUACUCUUGAAUGAUAGCACUCCUGCAGCGGCAAUAGUACUGUAAGUAUAAUCAUACACUGCAUUUAGCUGGUAUAUACAUUUUUUUGAUGUAUGCAUGAUGAAAUAUACCUGAAUAAUAAGAACUUUCAGCUGCUCCCUAAAUUGAUCCAUGGGAAAACCUUUUCCAUGCAUCAGCAUCAAUGAAACUUUCUGAAGUUUAGACCGAACCAUCUUUUAGCUGCUCCCUAAAUUGAUCCAUGAGAAAAGUUCAAGGUUCAUAUAUAUAUAUUAUAAAUUGCAUUUAGUGCAAAUUAACUUGCCAUACUUUUCUAGAAGAAAAGACGUGCUUCAGUAACUUGGAGUUGGCAAUCAAAUAGUAUAUUGAGGUAGGUAAUUUUAUACAGUAGCAGAAAAGAAGUCCUAGUUACCAAGGAUUUAUACUUGUGGGUCACGUUUCCUCUUCUCCGGUGUAUAUCACCAUGCAAGGGAAAUACACCUGGUCUUUUAAAAGCUGGAAGAACAAAUACCAAAUGGAUAAUCGAUGAGAUACGUGUGACAACAUUACAUCUUAUGGCAAUACUGCUGUAUUAAGAACUCAAUCUGAUAAAAAAAAAAGGGUCAACAAUAUACUACGUGUGACAACAUUACAUCUUAUGGCAAUACUGCUGUAUUAAGAACUCAAUCUGAUAAAAAAAGGGUCAACAAUAUACUACAGUUUUAGUAAACAUAUAUGGAAUAUCACAUUAACUAACU